CACUCCCACUCAAACUUUUUUUUUGGCGAGGCUACUUUGCUUGCGUGCCCGUUUUCUCUUCUCGGCGCUCGAUCCACUGGGCGACCCGGAAUUUGUGCCGCGUGUGCCGCAGAGGUAGAUGAACUCUGCGGCUGGCUGAGGCGUCUAUUUGUUGACGGGCUCUUGGUAGAAUGGGCAUGCGUUGAAAUACGGAGACACUUCUCUAUCUCGUCCUAUCCUGCUCAGGUCUUCUUCAGAGCUGUUACUUCUCGCCCUCUUCUCUAUUUUCACAAUCGCCGUUCUUGUCGUUGUCUUGGUUGCAGCAGCUGACACACAGCGUAUACUGGCUUCUAUACGCGCACGCGAGUGUGUCUCUCUCGUUCUUCACCAUCUGUGCUUGAUCUGAUCACAGACUAAAGCGCGAUCGUCCAUACGGGUUUGCAUCGCCACACCCAAAAUGAUGGCGGUGGCGCCGACGCAAGACGUGCCAUCGGUGUCUUGCGGCGCGUCAAGAUUGCCUGAAUUCUUUUCGACACCGUCAAGCUCUCCACUGCAAAACCGUUCUGGCGCUGCUGCGCACCCCGGGAGACGGCCUUCAGAGUUCCAGCCGCCUCACAGUACCAUUGCUACUCUCGUCGCGGGCAUGGAAGAGGACGGAGCUGUAGGCUUUCUUCCCUUCUGUGUGCAACGCCUGCGCGGACCAGGUAGAGUGCGCCGCGUUCCGCCAGGCACAGCGUACCGCUCUGCUGGCGCGCUGCUGCGUCGCCUGCUGCGCUACAACGAGGAUGGCGAGGUGCGCGUAGAGGUGGUGCGUGAGGCUGUCGGCGGAAUGAGCCUUGGCGCUGGGUACACGGAAGGACGGCAAACUACCGCUGCUGUAGCAGCGGCAUCAGAAGAGCUUCGGGAGGACCCGCAGCACCAGCAUCAGCAGCAGCAGCAGAUUGCCGUGACGCAGCGCUCACAGCCGAAGAACCAGGAUACCAAGAGCACCCGCACGAGAAGCCAAGCUCGACGCGAGCGUGCUUCCAUUUUGGCGAUGGAGACGGAGCGACGGUACGCUGCCGAGCAGGAGUCCAGAUUGUCGUUUCUUUUACAGGCACUGCCACUGCUCCGCGUGGUGCCACCGCAGUGUCUGCUGCAGCAGGCCUACACGGAGGAGCUAGUGUCUGAGCCUGGGAGUGACGUGUUCACGCCACCGAACAUAAGCAGAAGCUUCAACCCUAGCCCGCCAGCAUCGUCGUCAGCCGUCGUGGCUCACAGAGAUCCGUCGCAGCUGGGUUCGGGCAGCAGCAGCAGCAGUGAUGUGGACGGUGAUGGCCGAAACACAGGCGGUAACGCCGGCCAGCGUGGCGCCGCGACGGCGACGAAUUCUUACGUACGCGGAGCCUACAGACUCGGCCUCGGCUUUGCAGUUCUCCUCACCCCCGAGGAGGCGGCUGGGUUACACGAGACACCGCCGCGCCGAACAUCAGCACAACGCGCCAGUACCGCCGCCACUGCUGGCGGCAGUGGAGUCGGCGACGGCAAGGACCGCACUUCCUCGCUCAACCUGCUUAGCACUGUGAAUACCACGGCAGCUCCCAGCAGGGCUGAAAGCUUGCUCACCACCGUCCAUGAGGAGGCAGCGUCAACGCGUGCAGCAGCGACGAGCCGCAGCACCGACGUUUUAGCAGGGAAGCCGCCAGUAUCCGUGGAGGUGGCGGCCGAGAGCGCGCAGGCAGCAGCAGCUGCAGCAGCAACUCUCAACGGCAUUGUCAUCGACAGCGGCUUUGGCGUCACUAUCAAGGUUGGCGGCUCCUGCGACGAGCCCAACUCGCUUCGGUGUGUCGCGUGGGGUGGCUGCCGCCCAGCAUUGCUGCGAGCGGUGGUGUGGCGGUUGCUGAGCGACUACGCGCCUGCCGCCGUCACGCGGCAGAAAGCGGAGCUGCAGCGCAAGCGCCGCCAGUACGAGGGCUACACGCGGCAGUACUGUAGCGCUCUGACGAUGCUGUCACUGAGAGAGUCGCCGUCGACAUUGCCAUCGAUGUUGCCGCUGUCGUGCUCACACGGGGGUGGCGGAGCUGUCGGCGCUCCUGGCCUUCGCGAGGCGGCAUCACUGUCACGGCUUCCCGGCAACGGACUACCACCGAACAAUGGCCAUGGUCUGACACUCAGCGGCGGCGCAUCGUCCACGUCGGCGGUGACGUCCCUCUCGCCCUACGAGCGCGCUAUUCUCCAACAGAUGCUGCUGGACCUGCCGCGCCACCAGUCUCCCAUCUUUCAUGCCGGCCGCUCCCUAGCGGGCAUGGCGCGCUGCUUGUUUCUCUGGUCCCAGCGGCACCCUGCCGUCGGCUACGUGCAGGGCAUGGAUGACGUGGUCGCAGUUUUCUAUCAUGUCUUCCUUGCGGACGCGCUGCGGCAGCUCGCGCGGGUGUCGGCGCAGGCUGCCACGUGCACGCGUGCGUCUCACCGCCAGACGGCCACGCACGAAGGUGCUCGGAGAACAAGCGGGACGGCAGCGGCAGCUCGCUUGGACAGUGGAAGCGACGACGGCGAGGGAGACGACAGUGACGAUAAAGCUGCCUCGGCGAACGGCGCGGAGUUGGGCAGCAUGGCCUGUGACAAGGGCACGCGAGCCGUUAUGCGUCUGCUGGUGUCGUCGCUCUCUGCCUCGGUGCAGCGGACAUCCUGGUCUUCCACAGCCGCGUCGACACCGACGGCGUUGGCGACGCCAAUCACCAUGACGACGCUCGGCACGCCUGCCACUCGGGCCACCACAGCUGCGGCGCUCUCCCCCUACCUUUCCGAGGAGGACCUUGACGUGCUGUCCGACACACCCGCCGCUCUGGACGCGAUGCUGGCGGAGUUACCGGAGAGCUAUCUGACGCAGGUCGAGGGUGACACGUACUGGUGCGCCGGCCGUGUUCUGUCGCUGCUGCAGGACAACUUCAUGCCGGGCCAGCCGGGCAUCUUACGCAAUGUACGUCGCCUUGAGGCCCUCGUGCGCGCUGUCGACCCUUCUCUCAUUGCCUUUCUGGACGGGUAUGGCUUGACUGUGAUGGACGGCUGCUUCCAAUGGCUGCACUGUCUACUGGCACGUGAGCUGCCGCUGCCGCUGCUGCUGCGUCUGUGGGAUUGCUACCUGGCGAUCGGGAUUGGUGGCGAUCGUGCGCCACCGACGACUGCAGCGGCCAGCGGCGCUCUCACGACUUCUUCGCUGGCCGCCACCGUGGCAGCGCAAGGGUCCUCAGCGAGCGACGAGGAGAUCAUGCACUUCCACGUUUGUGUGUGCUGUGCGUUGCUCCGCAAUCUGCGCGCCAACCUGCUCGAUAACUCCUCGCAAACUUCCACUCUGAAUGCACCAGCGGCGACUAGCGGAAGGUGGGGCGCGGCGGCUCUCGCCACGGUGCUGCCCAUCUUCGGCUCGCGCACCACACACCAGGAGGGGAGCAGCGCCGCGGCACCUUCAGCAGCAGACGCAGCCGCAUGUUCGGGCACGUCUUCGACAGCUGAACCGCCUAUUGACGUCGUGAUGAACGCGCUGAAGCAUCCGUUCGAGGCGCUCUUUCCCCAGUACGCGUCCGCGAAGCAGGAGCAACAGCAUCCGCUGGAUAGGGAAGACAAGCAUGAGCGGUGCGGCGAGCGCGCACGGGCGCGGGCGUUGGAGGCGGCGAUGCGGUGGCUGGACAUCCUCAUUGCCGACGCUUACUGCAUCUGGCGGAAGCAUCCGAUGCAUGGUUGAGGUGCAUCUCUGGCAUAGGGGCGCUUACAUGUGUGUAGGUGCUCUCUGCCUUCCAGCUAGUGAAGUACACCGGUGCUGAGGCGGCGAUGUGAGCGUCCCUGUGAAUGCGAGGAGGGGAUGGUGAUGGUGAUGAAGGAGGAUAAGGAGAGAGCGUGUUGCACCAGUGUGCGAGAAAGGCGAGUGCGCGAACCCCGGCACAAACCCAAGCGCUCCUCUCUCUUUUCUUCCCUUGCGUCUUUGCUGACGUGUACUCGUCGUGCGUGUGCGGCUCCAUAUUCGUUGAGCAUGGCGUACUUCUCUGCGGCCCUUCCCCCUUCUACUGCCUCUUACGCUGUUUCGCUUUCGUCGCUGUAUCUCUUCUCCUUGGACCGCAUCCCUACCAGCUCACGCCGCACGCUGUCUUGAUACUUGCUUGCGAGAUACGGCGACGGCAACUUGCUGCUCCCAGGGACACGCCAGCUCACAUAAACGCGGUUUGUCUGCCUGCCUUUGCAUUCCUUUCGGUGCCUCUUGCCAUUGUGUGCGCUCUCCCUCUUCUUUGGUGACAGUGAUGGUUUCUGAAGGUCCGAAGCAAACAACUCU
rnacentral:misc_RNA from 1 species